rnacentral:ribozyme from 18 species
AAAAACAGGACACCAUUUUUUCUUUUUUUCUUUUUUUUUUUUUUUUCUUUCUU